CAGUAGCCACGGGAAUACGUAGGGUGCGAGCGUUAAUCGGAAUUACUGGGCGUAAAGCGUGCGCAGGCGGUUCUAUAAGACAGAUGUGAAAUCCCCGGGCUCAACCUGGGAACUGCAUUUGUGACUGUAGAGCUGGAGUGCGGCAGAGGGGGAUGGAAUUCCGCGUGUAGCAGUGAAAUGCGUAGAUAUGCGGAGGAACACCGAUGGCGAAGGCAAUCCCCUGGGCCUGCACUGACGCUCAUGCACGAAAGCGUGGGGAGCGAACAGGAUUAGAUACCCGCGUAGUCCCUGUCUCUUAUAC
rnacentral:rRNA from 1 species